UUUAAACAUUACUUCAAGGAAAAUAAAACCUAUGCACAUCACAGCUGUUCUCAUAAGAGUGUUCUCUCGUCUUCUUUCUUUAAACUCCUGCAGCACUUCUUAGAAGAAGCUGAAAUUGUCACCAAACCUCAGGCAGGACGAGUGACUUAUAAAUGUGUUCUCUGCAGCGGUUAAAUUAACUGAUGUCAAGCUACACACGCACUGGGCACGUGUAACCACUUCAACGUCAGGUAGCUUAGCUGAAAUGACACAGUUGCAGGUGCUUGUGAAUAAGUAUAUUCACACCUGGGGAGACUGAAUCAACACUGAACCUAUGCAUUUCGUCUGCUCGACAGCAACGUCUGCCUCUUCUUUGUCCUCACCUCGACACCAUAUUAAUCAUCAAUCAACACGUCUGAAAUAAUUUUUCAGAAUGAAGACCCUUCUUAAGUGAACCACUGCUUGCACAGCUUUGCUGAGAGUGUUGUAAACACUGGAGUCGGUGCAUACUUCGUUGGACAAGUUAUGUGAUGCCACAAUUUCUAAAUAGCCAAAAG